rnacentral:sRNA from 1 species
UCUGUCAUUGGAUAGAUCCUAAGUGAAAUUAGAUAUAAAAGAGAAAUGAAUUGAAUUUACUGGACAACAUUCUUCAGAUCUGCUGGGACAUAUUUUCAUUUUCUUGAGCAUCUCAACAUCUUUUGUGAAAAAGGAGAACGUGGAUGUCACUGGCUUUCACUUCACGUUUUAGGUCAGCGCUGCUUUUGGGGUGAAAGAAGACCAUCAGCAAACCUCAGCCUUGCGGCCGGGACUCCCCCGUCUUCUGUCGGAGUCCGCCGGUCCGCAGCCUGCGGCAGGGAGGCCCGGGCACCCGCAGGUGGCGCCCCACGUCCGUGUUUGCGCCC